UUCCGGUUGAUCCCGCCGGACCUGACUGCUAUCGGAUUGAUACUAAGCCAUGCUAGUCUUUGUAGUAAUACAAGGCAUACGGCUCAGUAACGCGUAGUCAACCUACCCUAUGGACAAGAAUAAUCUCGGGAAACUGAGCAUAAUUCUUGAUAGACCAUAAUGCCUGGAAUGGUUUAUGGUUAAAAUGAUUCGUCGCCAUAGGAUGGGACUGCGGCCUAUCAGCUUGUUGGUGAGGUAAUGGCCCACCAAGGCGAUUACAGGUACGGGCUCUGAGAGGAGAAGCCCGGAGAUGGGUACUGAGACAAGGACCCAGGCCCUAUGGGGCGCAGCAGGCGAGAAAACUUUGCAAUGUGCGAAAGCACGACAAGGUUAAUCCGAGUGAUUUCUGCUAAAGAAAUCUUUUGCAAGUCAUAAAACCACUAGUGAAUAAGGGGUGGGCAAGUUCUGGUGUCAGCCGCCGCGGUAAAACCAGCACCUCAAGUGGUCAGGAGGAUUAUUGGGCCUAAAGCAUCCGUAGCCGGCUCUGUAAGUUUUCGGUUAAAUCCAUGUGCUCAACGCAUGGGCUGCCGAAAAUACUGCAUAGCUAGGGAGUGGGAGAGGUAGACGGUACUCGGUAGGAAGGGGUAAAAUCCUUUGAUCUAUCGAUGACCACCUGUGGCGAAGGCGGUCUACCAGAACACGUUCGACGGUGAGGGAUGAAAGCUGGGGGAGCAAACCGGAUUAGAUACCCGGGUAGUCCCAGCUGUAAACGAUGCAGACUCGAUGAUGCAUUGGCAUAUAGCCAGUGCAGUGUCGCAGGGAAGCCGUUAAGUCUGCCGCCUGGGAAGUACGUACGCAAGUAUGAAACUUAAAGGAAUUGGCGGGGGAGCACCACAAGGGGUGAAGCCUGCGGUUCAAUUGGAUUCAACGCCGGG
rnacentral:rRNA from 1 species